AUGGGACAUCCAGACUUUACUUUCCCUCGCUGUGAUGUAGGAAGGGCACUGGAGGAACAAAGGGACAGGAAAGAAAAGGUAUCUUGGCAAGACCUUCUUUUAUUGAUCCAUUCAUUGAUUCACCGAAUCAUUCAAGAAAACUCCUCUGCUACGUGCUUUGCUAGUGGCAACAGGUGGAAUCAUGAGGUGGCCAGGGUUCGGGGACAAGCUCUGAAAGCUGUAGAGUGCCAACCAAACACGAGGUACUAGUCUGCUUCUGUUUAUAGUUGUGAUUUUUAGGAUUUUUAGGGCCUCAACCCAAAGUCCAUGGGAGAUUUUUUGAAACCUCAAACCCCCUACAUGAUAGUUCCACACUUUGCUGGGUGUUACUAUGAUUUAUUGGGUAUGCCUUCUUUAGUAGAUGGGGAGGGCUCUUGAGGUGGUGAAUAUAGAAUGUGUAGGGGAUGGGGGGCCUGGAUCAGGAGUAGGGGAAGUACAUGAAGGGACCCAAACUCUUGGCUAUGGAAUUACUAAUAAUAAGAUAAAUAUGCUGAGUUAGUCCAGGAAGCCCUUGGCAUCUGAGUUUUCAGAAGGUCCAAGGUGUUCCUGGACACCCUUGGGAGCUGAUGCCCUGACCUGGCCUGCACCUCAGAGCUGAUCAUUGGUUUGCUGAGUUUAUCCCCUGCUCUAAAGACGGCUUCCACUCUAGGCUCAGCUGAACUUCUCUGUUUUGAAUCACUUUGCCAGCCUUUGGCUUCCUGAAUGUUUGAGAGAAUAGAAAUCUGGAUAAUUAUUAAUUGGCCACUUAGCUGGCAAAGAAGGGUAUGGGUCCUAGAGCUAGCAGAUGGAGCAGCAGCAAUGAGGGCACAGACCAGUCUCCCCAACUCCUGGCCUCUUACUCCUGUUCUCCUCUGGGCCUCCUCCAGGCUGCCCCUGCCUGCAACUUGCCAGCUCCCUCUACUCUGCACUUCUCUCUCUGUUCAGUUUGAUCCUUUCUCUCCCUGAAUCUUUCUUUCUUCUCCCCUCAGUCCCCUUUCUUCAUUAAUUGAAGUUAAUUCAUAAUAUGACUUUGAGGCUCAUUAAAAGUUAUUUGUAGGAUUUAGUAAGCCAAAACGUGUUUAUUUAAAUAUUCAUUGAGUUUAACAUCUUCCAUCCUUCUCACAUUGAACUUCUCAUGUUCAAGUGAAUCCCAGUGGCUCUGUCCAAAUUCUGUCUGUCUGAAUUCUGUUUUAGGUAGGUCAGGGACCUUGAAUGCUCACCCUUAAGGGCAAUGAGGAUGUGGAUCUGGGCAGGUGUUCUGUCCACAGUUUGCUGCUUGGCUCUCACUCAGCAGAUGUUAUGCUUGAUCCCUUAGUGUACUUCCCUGUAAAAUACAGGCUUCCUUCAAGGAAUGGCAGUUAAUGCAUGCCUCAUUCUGAGCUGGGUGCCUGGAAGGACAAAAGAAGUAACAAAAUACCUGUUAUUCUGGGAGUAAGAAUACUAGCCUGGGUAUACUGGGAGGCUGGUUCAGAGAACUCAGCUGCAUUUCCACAGAAGAAAAACAAGACACAAAGGAUAGCUUUAUGCCCUCACCCAUUCUGCUGAGCUCCAAGACAGGCUCUCUUGGCUGAUAGCCAGCCUUGGGAAGGGAGAUAUGCUUGUACACUCAGGCUGGCAUGAUUGCAAGGUGCCUCCUCAUUAAUUUCUUCCGUUGUCACUGUGCGUGAGCAUGUGUAGCUUUAGGAGGAAGCAAGCAAGCAUUAGGAGCACCUGACAGAAGCUUCUCUUUCCUCCCAGGUCUAGUGCGGGGGAGGGGGAGGUGCGGGGGAGUGUGUAGGAAACAGGGAUAUGCUCACAGGAGGUGAUUAUGCAAAUAAGUAAAUGAUUUUAUGAAGAGUUCUUAAUAAACAUAGGAAAUGUUUAUGAUUUGAGGUUAUG
rnacentral:lncRNA from 12 species